GCCGGGCGUGGUGGUGCAUGCCUGUAGUCCCAGCUACUCGGGAGGCUGAGGCAGGAGAAUUGCUUGAACCCAGGGAGGUUGCGAUGAGCUGAGAUCACGCCACUGCACUCCAGCCUGGGUGACAGAGCAAGACUCUGUCUCAA
rnacentral:SRP_RNA from 1 species